GUUAUUAUGGAAAAUGUACUACAUUUUUUUAUGCAUUACUAAACCAUUUUUUUUAUGAAUUACUAAAUUCUGAUCAAGUCUGGACUGUUUGGCAUUCUCAUUUUUGGUGUGCUGUAAUUAUAGCCUUUUUGCCAUGACAGUGAUGUCUUUGCUAUUAUCUACAUGUUAGAGAUACCAUCAUUAAGCAUGUCUAGCAUGAUGGUUUCAUCAUGCUCAAUUCUUCUGCCAGGCAAUUUUA
rnacentral:misc_RNA from 1 species